CUUUAUCUCAACGUCUUAGGAGAAAAGGAACCUCUGAGAUGUAUGUUCACGUUUUCCAUGUAACAAUCUGGGAGGAAAGGGAUCAACAGCAUGCUGAUCCCACUCUUACGUAUUGAAAUAAGAUGAAAGAAACACUGAAAGAGAACUGAUACCCUAUGGUGGUUUGGGUGAGGUCUGCCCAGGGGAUAAAACAUCAAGUUUGCUGCAUACAAAGAAGUCCAUCCAGGAAAUCAGUUGCCAAUCUCACCUUCUUUCAUGUACCCCCAGUCUCUUCUAUUGAUUCUUUUGGAGCUGUUCCCCGUUUGGCUUUAUAGGAAGAGAAGGAAAAGAAGUCAAAACAUCCUUCCUCAGGUGGAAGACUCAAGAUUCCUUGAAUGUAUUGAAUUUUCUAGGGGUUGGGAGGGAAGAUGAGGAUUCAGGAAGUGAUGGAGAGUAGCCAAGCUGAUUUGGACACUUUUUGGUAAGCCCUGGACAAAGUUCUGGACUCCACUGUUUUCAGUUCUGUUUUGAAUAGGCCUGUGGUAGGUAGAAUAAUGGCCUUCCAGAGAAGUCCAUGUCCUAAUCUCUGGGACCUAUGAAUAUGUAACAUUGCAUGGCAAAGGGGAAUUAAGGCAGCAGAUGAAUUUAAGGUUAGUAAUCAGCUGGACUUAAAAUAGGGAUGUUGUCCUGGUGGAUUAUCCAAGUGGAUCCAAUGUCAUCACAAGGGUCAUUGAAUAUGGACAAAGGAGGCAGAGGAGUCAGUGUCACAGUGAUGUGACAUGAGAGUUGACCAGCCCUUGCUUGCUUUGAAGGUGGAAAGGGACCACAGCCAAGGAAUGCAAGCAACCUCUAGAAGCUGGAAAAGGUAAGGAAACAGAUUCUCCUCUAGAGCCCCCAGAAGGAAUGCAGCCCUGUGGACAUGUUGAUUUUAUCCCUAUGAGAACCAUUCAGACUUCUGAUCUCUAGAACUGUAAAAUAAUUAACUUGUGCUGUUUUAAGACACCAAGUUUGCAGUAAUUUGUUUCAGCAGCAAUAGGAUGCUAAACAGGGUCCUAGUAAUUAAUUUUAUUAUUUAAAAGAAUACCUCUUUCUUGUUUCAUGACCAAGAGAGACCCACAUCAUGAUUUUCUAAUGUCAAUGUUCUGCUUUACUUUGAAAAUACAGCCUGGUUGAGUAAUAUGUUAAACUAGACUGUCCAUUCAUAUUCAUCACACUUUGCUCCAAGACCAUGUUUGGAAAGUCAUGUUUCCAUUGAAUUUUUUUUUCCUUAGGAGCAUUAAUACAUGUGAGAGAGUGCAUCAUCCUGGUCAGACAACUGUUCAUCUCUUUUGCACU
rnacentral:lncRNA from 1 species